UGAUUUCCACCAAUUUGUUACUUCUUCUUCUUCUUCUUCGAGGACGCGCCUGCUUUUUAUAGUGGCCUCUCACUCGUAAUAUCAAGUAUGAAGUCACUGCUCAUGAUGAUUCAUCACAAUAUGUUCACAAUUUUUAAACUCUUUCGAGCGUUUUUAUUGUUGACACUUUCACAUUUUGUGAUAUAUUUUCAUUUCCUUUCACAUUUCAUUUUCUUUCCAAUUCUCUCUUCUGUCACAUUUUCACAAGAGUUGGUGUUUAUACAUUACUGAUAUAGGAAAAGGAUGGUGAUAAAUGAGUGACACGUGGACGGUGGUAAUUGAAGAUUAAAAGCAACGGUCAAUAUUAAGAACAGAAGAAUGAGGUCAAUAAGAAGCUGAAGACACUUCAUUAUGCUAAAAUCUGAGAUUGUAUCUUCUUCUUCAUUUUGUUCUCUGUUACUACUUGAGAAUUCUCUGUAAUUCUCAAGCUAUUCCUCAUCGUUUACCGGAGCUUCUCUCUUGAGACUCUUGUAGAUGAGAAGUUGAUGUUGCGUUUCAUGAACGUCGUAUCAAAUUAUCAAUCUAUAUCUUUCGAAUCCA
rnacentral:lncRNA from 1 species